rnacentral:antisense_RNA from 1 species
UUCGGUACGACAUUGCUCACAUUGCUUCCAGUAUUUUUUGCCCGCACGUCAAGCGCGGGCUUUUUUUU